GAUGAACGCUGGCGGCGUGCCUAAUACAUGCAAGUCGAGCGAACAGAUGAGGAGCUUGCUCCUCUGACGUUAGCGGCGGACGGGUGAGUAACACGUGGAUAACCUACCUAUAAGACUGGGAUAACUUCGGGAAACCGGAGCUAAUACCGGAUAAUAUAUUGAACCGCAUGGUUCAAUAGUGAAAGACGGUUUUGCUGUCACUUAUAGAUGGAUCCGCGCCGCAUUAGCUAGUUGGUAAGGUAACGGCUUACCAAGGCAACGAUGCGUAGCCGACCUGAGAGGGUGAUCGGCCACACGGGAACUGAGACACGGUCCAGACUCCUAAGGGAGGCAGCAGUAGGGAAUCUUCCGCAAUGGGCGAAAGCCUGACGGAGCAACGCCGCGUGAGUGAUGAAGGUCUUCGGAUCGUAAAACUCUGUUAUUAGGGAAGAACAAAUGUGUAAGUAACUAUGCACGUCUUGACGGUACCUAAUCAGAAAGCCACGGCUAACUACGUG
rnacentral:rRNA from 1 species